rnacentral:rRNA from 1 species
UAGUCAUACGCUCGACUCAAAGAUUAAGCCAUGCAUGUCUAAGUACAGCACGUUAGUCGUGUGAAACCGCGAAUGGCUCAGUAAAUCGGUUCUGAUCUGCUGGAUCAAAAAGUUUACUCGGAUAACUGUGGUAAUUCUAGAGCUAAUACGCGCUUAAAAAGCCCCGUCUCCGCGAGGAGAGGGGGCGCGUUCGUUAGAUCAAGACCAGCGGGGUUGAGGCUCGCCCGAAACCCCUUCCCACUGGUGACUCUGAACGACCCUUUGCCGAUCGCAUGGCCUAGCGCCGGCGACGUUUCGAAUGAGUGUCCGAACUAUCAGCUUGACGGUAGGUUAAGUGCCUACCGUGGCUGUGACGGGUAACGGGGAAUCCGGGUUCGAUUCCGGAGAGGCAGCCUGAGAAACGGCUACCACAUCCAAGGAAGGCAGCAGGCGCGCAAAUUACCCAAUCCCGGCACGGGGAGGUAGUGACGAAAAAUAACGGUGCGGCGCUCGUACGAGUGUCCGUAAUUGGAAUGGGUCGGAUCUAAAUCCUCUAACGAGGAUCUAUUGGAGGGCAAGUCUGGUGCCAGCAGCCGCGGUAAUUCCAGCUCCAAUAGCGCAUAUUAAAGUUGUUGCGGUUGAAACGCUCGUAGUCGGACUUCGGCGUCCGGCGAGUCGGUCCGCACGUUGUUUGCGGUUACCGUCUCGACGGGUGCGAAACGCCCGAAUUCACCUACCGAUUCCUUUCGCCGGGUGUCGGGGGUGGCGGGCCCGUUUACUUUGAGAAAACCAGUGUGCUCAAAGGCAGGCGCUUGCAAAUGAACGCCCGAAUGUCGUUGCAUGGAAUAAUGAAAUAUGACCUCGGCUCAAUUUUGUUGGUUUUUUUUGGGGGCCGAGGUAAUGAUUAACGGGAGUAGUGACGGGGGCAUCCGUACUCCGGCGCGAGAGGUGAAAUUCUUGGACCGCCAGGGGACGCACCGAGGCGAAAGCGUUUGCCAAGAACGCUUCCAUCGAUCAAGAGCGAAAGCUAGAGGUUCGAAGGCGAUCAGAUACCGCCCUAGUUCUAGCCAUAAACGAUGCCGACCGCCGAUCCGUCGUGGUUACUAGACCGACCCGACGGGACGACUGAGGGAAACCAGAAUCUUUGGGUUCCGGGGGAAGUAUGGUCGCAAGGCUGGAACUUAAAGGCAUUGACGGAAAGGCACCACCAGGAGUGGGGCCUGCGGCUUAAUUUGACUCAACACGGGAAAUCCUACUAGGCCAGGACACCGGAAGGAUUGACAGAUUGAGGGCUCUUUCUCGAUUCGGUGGGUGGUGCAUGGCCGUUCUUAGUUCGUGGAGUGAUCUGCCUGGUUAAUUCCGGUAACGAACGAGGCUCCAGCCUACUAACUAGGCUGCUUAAUCCGAGGUGCAAAUCUUGUGAUACGUGGGGUUUCGGCUCGCCGUAGUAAGCUUCGUGGUUCCCUCGGGGGUCGCGGGUUCGCUGCGUCGGUCGUUUCUUCCUGCCCGGAAACUCGGUCGUACUUCUUAGGGGGACGAGCGGCAUUUUAGCCGUACGAAACGGAGCAAUAACAGGUCUGUGAUGCCCUCAGAUGUCCUAGGCUGCACGCGCGCCACAAUGGAGGUCUCAGCGCGUUUUCCCCGCCCUAGAGGGUCGGGUAAUCGCUGAAAGUCCGCUUCUUAGUGGGGAUAGGGGACUGAAACGUUCCCUUGCACAAGGAAUUCCUAGUAGGCGCCUCUCACUAAUCGGGGACGAUUGCGUCCCUGCCCUUUGUACACACCGCCCGUCGCUACUACCGAUUGGAUGGUCCAGUGAGGCCUUUGGACCGGUUCGUACGGGAACGGCUCUCGGGUCGGGCCUGUCGCGCUACCGGGAAUCUGUCCAAACUUGACCGUUUAGAGGAAGUAAAAGUCGUAACAAGGUUUCCGUAG